CAGCCGCCGCGGGAAUACGAAGGGUGCAAGCGUUAAUCGGAAUUACUGGGCGUAAAGCGCGCGUAGGUGGUUCAUUAAGUUGGAUGUGAAGGCCCUGGGCUCAACCUGGGAACUGCAUCCAAAACUGGUGAGCUAGAGUACGGUAGAGGGUAGUGGAAUUUCCUGUGUAGCGGUGAAAUGCGUAGAUAUAGGAAGGAACACCAGUGGCGAAGGCGACUACCUGGACUGAUACUGACACUGAGGUGCGAAAGCGUGGGGAGCAAACAGGAUUAGAUACCCCGGUAGUCCCGUCUCUUAUACC
rnacentral:rRNA from 1 species